GGGGAAUUUUGGACAAUGGGGGCAACCCUGAUCCAGCCAUGCCGCGUGCGGGAAGAAGGCCUUCGGGUUGUAAACCGCUUUUGUCGGGGAAGAAAUCCUCCGGGCUAAUAUCCUGGGGGGAUGACGGUACCCGAAGAAUAAGCACCGGCCAACUACGUGCCAGCAGCCGCGGUAAUACGUAGGGUGCGAGCGUUAAUCGGAAGUACUGGGCGUAAAGCGUGCGCAGGCGGUUGUGCAAGACAGAUGUGAAAUCCCCGGGCUUAACCUGGGAACUGCAUUUGUGACUGCACAGCUGGAGUGCGGCAGAGGGGGAUGGAAUUCCGCGUGUAGCAGUGAAAUGCGUAGAUAUGCGGAGGAACACCGAUGGCGAAGGCAAUCCCCUGGGCCUGCACUGACGCUCAUGCACGAAAGCGUGGGGAGCAAA
rnacentral:rRNA from 1 species